GAUGAACGCUAGCGGGAGGCCUAACACAUGCAAGCCGAGCGGGAUUUGUUGGUUAGCUUGCUAACUAACAAUGAGAGCGGCGUACGGGUGCGUAGCACGUGUGCAACCUGCCUUUAUCUGGGGGAUAGCCUUUCGAAAGGAAGAUUAAUACCCCAUAACAUAUUGAUUGGCAUCAGUUAAUAUUGAAAGCUCCGGCGGAUAGAGAUGGGCACGCGUAAGAUUAGCUAGUUGGUGAGGUAACGGCUCACCAAGGCUGCGAUCUUUAGGGGGCCUGAGAGGGUGAUCCCCCACACUGGUACUGAGACACAGACCAGACUCCUACGGGAGGCAGCAGUGAGGAAUAUUGGACAAUGGGUGAGAGCCUGAUCCAGCCAUCCCGCGUGAAGGACUAAGGACCUAUGGUUUGUAAACUUCUUUUAUACAGGGAUAAACCUACUCUCGUGAGGGUAGCUGAAGGUACUGUAUGAGUAAGCACCGGCUAACUCCGUG
rnacentral:rRNA from 1 species